GGACCGGUGGCCUAGCAGGAUAGGGCGCAGGCCUCCUAAGCCUGAUGUCGCGCGUUCGAAUCGCGCCCGGUCCG
rnacentral:tRNA from 1 species